UACGGAGGGUGCAAGCGUUGUCCGGAUUUAUUGGGUUUAAAGGGUGCGUAGGCGGCCGAUUAAGUCUGGGGGUGAAAGCCCGUUGCUCAACAACGGAACUGCCCUGGAAACUGGUCGGCUUGAGUACAGACGAGGGUGGCGGAAUGGAUGGUGUAGCGGUGAAAUGCAUAGAUACCAUCCAGAACCCCCGAUUGCGAAGCAGCUGCCUAGACCUGUAACUGAACCGCUGAGGCACGAAAAGCGUGGGGGAGCGAACAGG
rnacentral:rRNA from 1 species